UUGAAGAUUGUCCUUCUUGAAGUAUUGGCUUUCACAAGAAUUUAUCUAAGACCAAAAAUGGAUAAUGGUUUUCCACUUGAUAUGCAAGACAACAAUGGCUCUCUCUCGCUCAAUGGGUGGAAGAAGAAGAGAAUGUCUUACAUUCUUAUGGGAACCAUAACCCCCCACUUAUAACAUAUGAGUUAUGAAACUCAAAAGUCAUAAGCAUGUAACCAUGGUUACAUGUAUGUAACCUUNNNN
rnacentral:lncRNA from 1 species